GGAAGUGGUAGCUCAGUGGUUAAGACGUUGGACUACUGCUCAAAUGUUUGUGAGUUCAAAUCCCAGCACUGACA